CUAGAGAAGGCGUCCAAAUCUGCCGCUGGCAUUUCCCUGUACGUAAGCGAUGAUCCGCAAGGUAGCAACGAAGUACUAGGACCAGAUGCGCCAGAGUUCCCUGAUCAGGAUGGCGCGCUGGU
ncrna:unclassified sequences Flavobacterium-1 RNA